rnacentral:rRNA from 1 species
GAUGAACGCUGGCGGUAUGCCUAACACAUGCAAGUCGUACGAGAGUUUUUAACUCUAGUGGCGGACGGGUGAGUAACACGUGAGAAUUUGCCUUUAGGAGGGGGAUAACAAUUGGAAACGAAUGCUAAUACCCCAUAUGCUUUUGAGUGAAAUGGAUUUUAUCCGCCUAGAGAGAAGCUCGCGGCUGAUUAGCUUGUUGGUAAGGUAAGAGCUUACCAAGGCGACGAUCAGUAUCUGGUUUGAGAGGACGAUCAGACACACUGGAACUGAGACACGGUCCAGACUCCUACGGGAGGCAGCAGUGGGGAAUUUUCCGCAAUGGGCGAAAGCCUGACGGAGCAAUACCGCGUGAGGGAAGAAUGCCUAUGGGUUGUAAACCUCUUUUUCUAGGGAGGAAUAAAAUAGACGUGUACCUGAAGAAUAAGCAUCGGCUAACUCCGUG